CCAAAGCACUAGUACCAGAAUCUUUUGCUGCUUGGAAAAUAUUCAGGACUAUGAGCUAAAUGGGGCUGUACAUGGGCUAUGCCUUUCUUUUCUUUCCUGUAUCUUGAGAAGGAAGCAUGGAGAAGGAAGCAUGGAGAAGGAAAUCCUUAUCUUUCCAGUGGAAAGGAAGGGGCAAAAAGAGACUCCAAAUGACUAAUUUUUUUUAAUCACUUGCCGUUUGAACAUGUGACUUGAGAAUUUAUCAAAAAAUUAAAUACACCUCCUACAGAAGAUGUUCCUCUCCCCUGAUAUGAAGAACAGAAAAUAAAACGGCUAUCCCGUACUGUAUCUUCCACUGACAUUAGUGAAGUAUAGUUCUCCAGAAUCUCAAAAUCAGAUCUGCCAAUAUCACUGGCCAACUCUGAACUGGACUAUUAUCAAGUGCAGCAGUUAAGGAUACGGACGUACCCUUAUGAGAUCAAGAUCAGGAAGACGAGGUUUUCUACGAAAUCAGUUUUUCCUGUCUGGAUUGUGGCAAACUGCAGCCAAAGAUCAUCACCGCUGUCUGGAACUGGUCUGCUGCAGAAGAAUCGGAGCAGCGUGAUGUGGAGCUGUCAUCCCUGUGCGAUAGAUUGCAAAAUGGGUUAGUCCUCCCUUUCUUACCUCUGCUCCUGGAUAUCGCUCUCAUUUCACUUACUUAGGCAUUGUCACCGCUGCUGGUAUAUCCGAAGCAAGCCAGUGCAGGAAGAAAUGGAAGGAGCUCUCUCCAACACAGCACAGCCACCUGGAAG
rnacentral:lncRNA from 1 species